UUGAAAGGGAAACGAUUGAAGUCAGUCGUACCGACGAGAAAUCAGCUUUUCGAAUGUGCAUUUGUGGGCGUAUGAGAUCUUCAUUGUUUGCAAUAUGUAUAUUUCUUUGGUGUACUUUUUCGUAUGGUAGGUCAACGUCGGUUUUGGUCGCCAUAAAAUGAUCGGAGGAAUGUAGCUUCGACCUCGGUUGAAGUGUUAUAGCCUUUGGUAAAUGUGGUGAUUAGGACCGAGGAUUGCAACGAAUACCUUUUAGGCUAUCCGUCUGACCUCUGAAAGUUACUUAGGUGCCGAAAGCUUGCUUACGGUCAUUUAAGUUGACGGUCAAUAGGUUAGAACGUGAUCCAUUCGUUAAGGAUGUUGACGUA
rnacentral:rRNA from 1 species